rnacentral:ncRNA from 2 species
AAGUGUUCUCAGGGCAGGGUGAAAGUCCCUACCGGCGGUGAUAGCCCGCGAGCGCUUGUUGUCCCUAGCGGGACAACUUGGUCAGCAGAUUUGGUGAAAUUCCAGAGCCGACGGUGAAAGUCCGGAUGAAAGAGAGCGGUU